rnacentral:rRNA from 1 species
UACGGGGGGGGCAAGCGUUGUUCGGAAUUACUGGGCGUAAAGGGGCGCGUAGGCGGCUGGAUAAGUCUGACGUGAAAUCCCUCGGCCUAACCGAGGAACUGCGUUUGAAACUGUCCGGCUCGAGUCCGGGAGAGGGUAGUGGAAUUCCCAGUGUAGCGGUGAAAUGCGUAGAUAUUGGGAGGAACACCGGUGGCGAGGGCGGAACUCUGGGCCGGAACUGGACGCGUGAGGAGCGAAAGCGUGGGGAGCGAACAGGG